GAUGAACGCUGGCGGCGUGCCUAAUACAUGCCAGUCGAGCGAACGGACGAGAAGCUUGCUUUUCUGAUGUUAGCGGCGGACGGGUGAGUAACACGUGGAUAACCUACCUAUAAGACUGGGAUAACUUCGGGAAACCGGAGCUAAUACCGGAUAAUAUUUUGAACCGCAUGGUUCAAAAGUGAAAGACGGUCUUGCUGUCACUUAUAGAUGGAUCCGCGCUGCAUUAGCUAGUUGGUAAGGUAACGGCUUACCAAGGCAACGAUGCAUAGCCGACCUGAGAGGGUGAGCGGCCACACUGGAACUGAGACACGGUCCAGACUCCUACGGGAGGCAGCAGUAGGGAAUCUUCCGCAAUGGGCGAAAGCCUGACGGAGCAACGCCGCGUGAGUGAUGAAGGUCUUCGGAUCGUAAAACUCUGUUAUUAGGGAAGAACAUAUGUGUAAGUAACUGUGCACAUCUUGACGGUACCUAAUCAGAAAGCCACGGCUAACUACGUG
rnacentral:rRNA from 1 species